rnacentral:rRNA from 1 species
GAGUUUGAUCCUGGCUCAGAUUGAACGCUGGCGGCAGGCCUAAGACAUGCAAGUCGAGCGAGAAAGUACUUCGGUACGAGUACAGCGGCGGACGGGUGAGUAACGCGUAGGAAUCUACCUAGUAGUGGGGGACAACUCGUGGAAACGCGAGCUAAUACCGCAUACGCCCUACGGGGGAAAGCGGGGGAUCUUCGGACCUCGUGCUAUUAGAUGAGCCUGCGUAAGAUUAGCUAGUUGGUGGGGUAAAGGCCUACCAAGGCGACGAUCUUUAGCUGGUCUGAGAGGAUGAUCAGCCACACCGGGACUGAGACACGGCCCGGACUCCUACGGGAGGCAGCAGUCGGGAAUAUUGCGCAAUGGGCGAAAGCCUGACGCAGCCAUGCCGCGUGUGUGAAGAAGGCCCUAGGGUUGUAAAGCACUUUCAAUUGGGAGGAAAAGCUAAUGGUUAAUAGCCAUUAGCCCUGACGUUACCUUUAGAAGAAGCACCGGCUAACUCCGUGCCAGCAGCCGCGGUAAUACGGAGGGUGCAAGCGUUAAUCGGAAUUACUGGGCGUAAAGCGCGCGUAGGCGGCUCUUUAAGUCGGAUGUGAAAGCCCCGGGCUCAACCUGGGAACUGCAUCCGAUACUGGGGAGCUAGAGUGUAGGAGAGGGAGGUAGAAUUCCAUGUGUAGCAGUGAAAU